UGGGAGGAAAUACAGCAAAAUGGUUAUAGCAUUAUUCUUGAUGAUGAAAAUAUUAGAGAUUUUAAUUUAUUAUCUUUUUUGUAAUAGGCAUUUUGUGUGUGUGUGUGUGUGUGUGUGUAUGCGCGCGCAUGCAUGCGUGCGCAUGCACAUGCCCAA
rnacentral:sRNA from 1 species